UACAGAGGUCCCAAGCGUUGUUCGGAUUCAUUGGGCGUAAAGGGUGCGUAGGCGGCGCGGUAAGUCGGGUGUGAAAUCUCGGGGCUUAACUCCGAAACUGCAUUCGAUACUGCCGUGCUUGAGGACUGGAGAGGAGACUGGAAUUUACGGUGUAGCGGUGAAAUGCGUAGAUAUCGUAAGGAAGACCAGUGGCGAAGGCGGGUCUCUGGACAGUACCUGACGCUGAGGCACGAAGGCCAGGGGAGCAAACGGG
rnacentral:rRNA from 1 species